AGCUUUGCGCAGCAGCAGUAUCGUAGCCAAUGAGGUUCAUCUGAGGCACGAUUAUUGCUACUUGAAAACUUCUCAGAACUGUACAUUACACCUGUUCCUCUUUCCUUAGAGGCAACUUCUGUAACCCCAGAUAUCCCCGACAGAGAUAAGAUAAUUAAAACAACACUGUGUUGG
rnacentral:snRNA from 13 species